rnacentral:rRNA from 1 species
AUGGCGACCGGCGCACGGGUGAGUAACACGUAUGAAACCUGCCCGUAGCAGGGGGAUAAGCGGAAGAAAUUCCGUCUAAUACCGCGUAACAACCCGAGGAGGCAUCUCCUCGGGUUUAAAGGAAGCGAUUCCGGCUACGGAUGGUCAUGCGUCGCAUUAGCUAGUUGGCGGGGUAACGGCCCACCAAGGCGACGAUGCGUAGGGGUUCUGAGAGGAAGGUCCCCCACACUGGUACUGAGACACGGACCAGACUCCUACGGGAGGCAGCAG